rnacentral:rRNA from 1 species
AGUGAACGCUGGCGGUAGGCCUAACACAUGCAAGUCGAACGGCAGCACAGUAAGAGCUUGCUCUUACGGGUGGCGAGUGGCGGACGAGUGAGGAAUACAUCGGAAUCUACUUUUUCGUGGGGGAUAACGUAGGGAAACUUACGCUAAUACCGCAUACAACCUACGGGUGAAAGCAGGGGAUCUUCGGACCUUGCGCGAUUGAAUGAGCCGAUGUCGGAUUAGCUAGUUGGCGGGGUAAAGGCCCACCAAGGCGACGAUCCGUAGCUGGUCUGAGAGGAUGAUCAGCCACACUGGAACUGAGACACGGUCCAGACUCCUACGGGAGGCAGCAGUGGGGAAUAUUGGACAAUGGGCGCAAGCCUGAUCCAGCCAUACCGCGUGGGUGAAGAAGGCCUUCGGGUUGUAAAGCCCUUUUGUUGGGAAAGAAAAGCAGCAGGUUAAUACCCCGCUGUUCUGACGGUACCCAAAGAAUAAGCACCGGCUAACUUCGUG